rnacentral:rRNA from 1 species
GGGAAAAGGAUUUAUUCGCUUCAGGAUGGACUCGCGUCCAAUUAGCUAGUUGGUGAGGUAACGGCCCACCAAGGCGACGAUUGGUAGCCGGACUGAGAGGUUGAACGGCCACAUUGGGACUGAGACACGGCCCAGACUCCUACGGGAGGCAGCAGUGGGGGAUAUUGCACAAUGGGGGAAACCCUGAUGCAGCGACGCCGCGUGGAGGAAGAAGGUUUUCGGAUUGUAAACUCCUGUCGUUAGGGACGAUAAUGACGGUACCUAACAAGAAAGCACCGGCUAACUACGUGCCAGCAGCCGCGGUAAAACGUAGGGUGCAAGCGUUGUCCGGAAUUACUGGGUGUAAAGGGAGCGCAGGCGGACCGGCAAGUUGGAAGUGAAAACUAUGGGCUCAACCCAUAAAUUGCUUUCAAAACUGCUGGCCUUGAGUAGUGCAGAGGUAGGUGGAAUUCCCGGUGUAGCGGUGGAAUGCGUAGAUAUCGGGAGGAACACCAGUGGCGAAGGCGACCUACUGGGCAUCAACUGACGCUGAGGCUCGAAAGCAUGGGUAGCAAACAGGAUUAGAUACCCUGGUAGUCCAUGCCGUAAACGAUGAUUACUAGGUGUUGGAGGAUUGACCCCUUCAGUGCCG